GAGUUUGAUCAUGGCUCAGAUUGAACGCUGGCGGCAUGCCUUACACAUGCAAGUCGAACGGCAGCACGGGAGCUUGCUCCUGGUGGCGAGUGGCGAACGGGUGAGUAAUGCAUCGGAACGUAUCCUGGAGUGGGGGAUAACGUAGCGAAAGUUACGCUAAUACCGCAUAUUCUGUGAGCAGGAAAGCGGGGGACCUUCGGGCCUCGCGCUCUUGGAGCGGCCGAUGUCGGAUUAGCUAGUUGGUGAGGUAAAGGCUCACCAAGGCGACGAUCCGUAGCAGGUCUGAGAGGAUGAUCUGCCACACUGGAACUGAGACACGGUCCAGACUCCUACGGGAGGCAGCAGUGGGAAUUUGGACAAUGGGGCAACCUGAUCCAGCCAUGCGACGUGAGUGAAGAAGGCCUC
rnacentral:rRNA from 1 species